rnacentral:rRNA from 1 species
AUUGAACGCUGGCGGCAUGCUUUACACAUGCAAGUCGAACGGCAACGCCCGCUUCGGCCUGGCUGCUCGUGGCGAACGGGUGAGUAAUACAUCGGAACGUGCCCAGCUGUGGGGUAUGGCUCGGCCAAAGCCGGAUUAAUACCACCUACGACCUGAUGCUGAAAGCGGGGGAUCUUCGGACCGCUCCCUAUUUGAGCGGUCGAUGGCAGAUUAGCCAGUUGGUGGGGUAAAGGCCUACCAAGGAGACGAUCUGCAGCUGGUCUGAGAGGGCGACUAGCCACACUGGGAGUGAGACACGGCCCAGACUCCUGCGGGAGGGAGCAGUGGGGAAUUUUGGGCAGUGGGCGAAAGCCUGAUCCAGCAAUGCCGCGUGUGUGAUGAAGGCCUUCGGUUUGUAAAGCACUUUUGGCGGGAACGAAAAGGACUGUGCCAAUACCACGGUUCGAUGACGGUACCCGCAGAAUAAGCACCGGCUAACUACGUG